GACGAACGCUGGCGGCGUGCUUAACACAUGCAAGUCGAACGGGGCGAAGUGAUAGCUUGCUAUUAUGGAGCCUAGUGGCAAACGGGUGAGUAACGCGUAGGCAACCUGCCCUUCAGAUGGGGACAACACCUCGAAAGGGGUGCUAAUACCGAAUGACGUUUCCUGGUCGCAUGACCUGGAAACCAAAGGCCGGGCAACCGGUCACUGAAGGAUGGGCCUGCGUCUGAUUAGCUAGUUGGUGGGUAACGGCCACCAAGGCGACGAUCAGUAGCCGGUCUGAGAGGAUGAACGGCCACAUUGGGACUGAGACACGGCCAAACUCCUACGGGAGGCAGCAGUGGGGAAUAUUGGGCAAUGGGGGAAACCCUGACCCAGCAACGCCGCGUUGGGAGGAAGAAAGGUUUUUCGGAUCGUAAAACUUCUGUC
rnacentral:rRNA from 1 species